rnacentral:tRNA from 2 species
GGAGAGGUGGCCGAGUGGCUGAAGGCGUCGGUCUCGAAAACCGGUGUCCCGUUUGCGCGGGACCGUGGGUUCGAAUCCCACCCUCUCCGCCA